AUAGUACUCCCUCCGUCCCAAAAUUCUUGUCUUGGAUUUGUCUACAUACGGAUGUAUCAAGUCACAUUUUAGUAUUAGAUUCAUCCGUAUCUACACAAAUCUAAGGCAAGAAUUUUGGGACGGAGGGAGUAUAUG
rnacentral:pre_miRNA from 1 species